GGUACCUGGGUGUUCUGGAGACAGGUGUCGGGGGUUUUUCCUUGCCUCCGGACAGAGCCAGUCAUCCCCUCGGAGCACGACUCUCCACAGACAGCAUCAAGGAAAGACAUGACUUCUCUCAUCAGUCAGCUGUUCGCAUCAGAUGACCAAGAAUACUGGAGUUUCAGUUUCAGCAUCAGUCCUUCCAAUGAGUGCAGCAGGGGGCAAGGCUGAGAGAAUUAGUACAACCGUCGCCACUGAGCAGCUGGGGACACCGAUCCAAGCCAAGUAACACUUUGGACCAAGUUCAGGAGCAGGAGCGCACAGGCGCAGUGGCAGCCAGUCAGGUGCACUGGCCCCAACUAUCACUAUCGGAGGAGGUGUGGAAUAUGAGCUCUGAGGAACCCUAUAAGACACACUAAGGAGAACAGGAUUUAUUCCACAGGUAAUUGAGAACUGUCAAAAGGGUUUUUAACGAGGGAGUGAUGUAAUUAAAAAUG
ensembl:lncRNA